AAGGGGGGCCAACUCCAUAUUAAUGCCCAUGAUUCUGGAAUGAGAUGUUGGACGAGCAGGUGUCCACAUACUUUUGGUCAGUCGUGUAUUUGCGUCAAUGAAAAUCAUCCACUGUAAACUAAUACUCCAUAAUUCUGGUUUGAGAAAUAAAAAGGUAUGACUCAAAUGGCACCCUAAUCCCUAUUAUAGUGAACUAUCUGGCCAUAGGGCCCUGGUAUAAAGUAGUGCACUACAUAUGGAAUGGGUUCCAUUUGGGACACAUUCAUUAAACAUGAAAGUAGACCUACCUGAACCAGGUAAGGUAUAGUGGUUAUAUGGGUUGUUCAAUUUUGCCACUGAUUAUGAUGUGAUGAUGAUACAUGUUGUAGUAAGGUUGAGAAGCCGGGCUGAACAUAGAAGAAGGGCCUGGGUGAUUGACCUGCCGUUGGUUGUGUUGAUCGUUCUCCAUCGACUGUGGCUGUUUGCUUCCUUCUCUAAAUUUUUUAAAAAGAAUAAAUUGUUCAAAAAUCUCUUUCACAGGAGCCCUGUAUACAUUACAUCAGAACAAAAACUACACGCGUAUAAAACAUAUAAUUCAGCACACAAUAACAAAACAAACAUAUUUAAUAAAAUAAAUCACAUUCAACUACCGUUAUGAAUAAUCAGUGUGAAGUAAAAAAAAAAAAAAAAAAAGGUUUAGAUCAUAUCAGUUCAUUCAGAGCGUUCAGCUCAGGCUACAGGGGAGGCAACAGACCUGGGGCCAGGCUACAGGAGGAGGCAACAGACCUGGGGCCAGGCAACACGGACAGGCACACAGAUCUGGGACCAGGCUACAGAUCUGGGACCAGGCUACAGAUCUGGGACCAGGCUACAGAUCUGGGACCAGGCUACAGAUCUGGGACCAGGCUACAGAUCUGGGACCAGGCUACAGAUUGGGACCAGGCUACAGGAGGACACAAUAGACCUGGGACCAGGUACAAUGAGGAGAAAACAGAUCUGGGACCAGGCUAUAGUGAAAGUAGCCCUGGAAAACCCUUCUAGUUUGGUUUUCAGUGGUUAGCGUUGCCCACAGUUGGUUUUCGAGUGAACUACAAUUCUGACGCGGUGUUUUAACUGUUUUGGAAACAUUGCUGAUAUACCCCUUAUCUGUCAGUAGGACAUUUUUCAAUAAGGGACAGUCGACAUUUACUGGAACGGAGCAAAACAGGGGAGGGUUGUUGAACUUAUAUAUUUUUUCGGCACAGGAGAGGGUAGUGCAUUUUUUCCCCCCGGUUUACAUUUGCUCUUUUGCAGGAUUCACUAUGUCAUUUCUUCCAUCCUAGCCAUAUUUACUAUGUAAUUUCUUCAUCCUAGCCAUAUUUACUCAUCUGUUUGCCUCCGCUCCCGCCUCCCCCCAAUGUGGUUCUUGUCUUAUGGACUACGCUUUUUCGCACGCUAACUUUUACUAUACCACCGUGACAAUAUAGUCUACCAGUCUGUCGAUCCUGCCCUCUAUCCACCAUUCAUAGGACAAUAGUCUACCAGUCCAUCCACCAUUCAUAGUGACAAUAUAGUCUACCAGUCUGUCGAUCCUGCCCUCUAUCCACCAUUCAUAGUGACA
ensembl:lncRNA